CUGCAACCCCUUGUCGACGCGGUGGCGGGCCGGCUACCCUCCUGGAAAGCUUGGCUGAUGAACAAAGCGAGACGCCUAGCACUCGUCAAGUCGGUGCUUAGUGCGAUACCGAUCCAUCAACUGCUUGCGCUAGCGCCUCCAAAGAAAACCCUGAAGCAACUGGAGAAGAUUCAGCGCGGUUUCCUUUGGGCCGGCCGCGCGGACGCCCACGGUGGUCACUGCCACGUCAACUGGUGUCGGGUCUUCCGUCCACUCGAAUAUGGUGGCCUCGGUGUCAGGGACCUCGAGCGCACGGGACUAGCGCUCCGGCUGCGCUGGCUAUGGCUCGUGCGCACGGACUCGGAUCGAGCUUGGCAGGGGCUGGACCUG
rnacentral:rRNA from 1 species